UACCUACAUGUUAACUGAAGUAUUUCUCCCUGUAGAUGUUAAAUUUUCUUCUCACUUAGGUGUUCAUUUGUCAACCUAUAUGGAAGCUCAUUUGUUCAGCAUGGAUUAGUUAGAACUGUAUGCAGACCGAAGGCCAAUUAUGGUAAGUUUCACGUGAGGUCCCAUGAAUGAGGGUCUGACUUGAAGCCACAACACCACCACUGGGUCGCAUACCAGCUCCGUCUCUUCACUCUUCCCUUCGCCGAUGCAUUAGAUAGCAGAGCAAGGUUAAAGCCCGGCACCGCAUAACACUC